rnacentral:tRNA from 1 species
GGGGAUUUAGCUUAGCGGCAUAAGCGCCUGCCUUGCAAGCAGGCAGUUGUGAGUUCGAUCCCUGGUACCCG